rnacentral:rRNA from 1 species
UACAGAGGGUGCAAGCGUUAUUCGGAUUUACUGGGCGUAAAGCGCAUGUAGGCGGUUUGGUAAGUUUGGUGUGAAAUCCCCCGGCUUAAUCGGGGAAGUGCAUUGAAUACUGCCAGACUAGAGUGCAGGAGGGGAGAACGGAAUUCCUGGUGUAGAGGUGAAAUUCGUAGAUAUCAGGAGGAACAACGGUGGCGAAGGCGGUUCUCUGGACUGUAACUGACGCUGAGGUGCGAAAGCGUGGGUAG